GAUGAACGCUGGCGGCGUGCCUAAUACAUGCAAGUCGAGCGAACAGAUGAGAAGCUUGCUUCUCUGAUGUUAGCGGCGGACGGGUGAGUAACACGUGGGUAACCUACCUAUAAGACUGGGAUAACUCCGGGAAACCGGGGCUAAUACCGGAUAAUAUUUUGAACCGCAUGGUUCAAUAGUGAAAGACGGUUUCGGCUGUCACUUAUAGAUGGACCCGCGCCGUAUUAGCUAGUUGGUAAGGUAGCUGCUUACCAAGGCGACGAUACGUAGCCGACCUGAGAGGGUGAUCGGCCACACUGGAACUGAGACACGGUCCAGACUCCUACGGGAGGCAGCAGUAGGGAAUCUUCCGCAAUGGGCGAAAGCCUGACAGAGCAACGCCGCGUGAGUGAUGAAGGUCUUCGGAUCGUAAAACUCUGUUGUUAGGGAAGAACAAAUUUGUUAGUAACUGAACAAGUCUUGACGGUACCUAACCAGAAAGCCACGGCUAACUACGUGCCAGCCGCCGCAGUAA
rnacentral:rRNA from 1 species